CAUGAAGGAAAAUUAAAGCGCUUCCAAAAUAACUGACGAGAUGAAAGGAGUUUUAAGAUGGGUACAAUCGUUUGUCAAUCAUGCUUAAACACUAUUGAUCACUUUGAAGAUGAAAAGGUAUCGGUUUUAUUCUCCAGCGAAUGUGAUUGCAAUAAAGAAACUGAAUUAGAUGAUUAAAAGGUUAAUAUAAAAACAACCCCCGACCUAAGUGGCGGGGGUUGUUUAUUG
rnacentral:sRNA from 1 species